UGCAGUCGAGCGGACAGAUGGGAGCUUGCUCCCUGAUGUUAGCGGCGGACGGGUGAGUAACACGUGGGUAACCUGCCUGUAAGACUGGGAUAACUCCGGGAAACCGGGGCUAAUACCGGAUGGUUGUUUGAACCGCAUGGUUCAGACAUAAAAGGUGGCUUCGGCUACCACUUACAGAUGGACCCGCGGCGCAUUAGCUAGUUGGUGAGGUAACGGCUCACCAAGGCGACGAUGCGUAGCCGACCUGAGAGGGUGAUCGGCCACACUGGGACUGAGACACGGCCCAGACUCCUACGGGAGGCAGCAGUAGGGAAUCUUCCGCAAUGGACGAAAGUCUGACGGAGCAACGCCGCGUGAGUGAUGAAGGUUUUCGGAUCGUAAAGCUCUGUUGUUAGGGAAGAACAAGUGCCGUUCAAAUAGGGCGGCACCUUGACGGUACCUAACCAGAAAGCCACGGCUAACUACGUGCCAGCAGCCGCGGUAAUACGUAGGUGGCAAGCGUUGUCCGGAAUUAUUGGGCGUAAAGGGCUCGCAGGCGGUUUCUUAAGUCUGAUGUGAAAGCCCCCGGCUCAACCGGGGAGGGUCAUUGGAAACUGGGGAACUUGAGUGCAGAAGAGGAGAGUGG
rnacentral:rRNA from 1 species